rnacentral:lncRNA from 1 species
ACUGUGUGAUCAGAAACUGCACAAAGAAGGUGCUUCUUGAUUGAUCAUUGAAGGACUGCAUCUUAUGAAGAGUGCUGGAAUUGACCUAUUGUGAUACAACAGUUACACGUUGAGGAUUGUUUGACGUGGGUUCAGAUUGUAGAAGAGGGGAUUCUUGCUGCAAGUCUGGUUUUGGUUAUUGCAGUUAAAUUUUGGUUUUGGGUUAGAGAGGAGAUUUAUAUAUUUUUUUUGUGAGGUCUUCUAUAAAUUCCUUGUUGUAAAAACCGCAACCUAUAUAGUGCAUUUGCUUCCUGGGUUGGAAGGACACUGGAUGUAGGCAUUGUUGGCCGAACCAGUAUAAAAACUAGUGUUUGCUUUUCUCUAUCCCUGCACUCUUUAAUUUCAGUCGACUUUAUCUUUUACGCAGUCAACUACGUUUUUCCGCUGCAUAUAAAUUUUCAUUACUUGCAUUUCAAGAAAGAUAAAAAAGCUUUAUACUUUUGAUAAAAGAUUGCGAAAAGAUUUUGUUUUUAAAACAUCACCAAUUCACCCCCCCCUCUUGGUGUAAAAACGAAGCCUACCUGUUUCCCAACAAUUGGCACCAGAGCUGGUUUUCAUAAGAUAUUUGACAAUUUAGUCGACUUUGUUUUUAUCUUAUUCGACUAUAAAACUUGGGGAUGGUUUCUUGUUUUCAAACUAUUGGUGAAGGUGCUUCGACAAACAGACCACUUCUGUUUGCUGGUGAACAUUAUCUUUUUUGGAAAAUUCGAAUGCUAAAAAGCUUUUUUGGAAAGAUAAAAAGGCUUUAUACUUUUGAUAAAAGAUUGCGAAAAGAUUUUGUUUUUAAAACAUCACCAAUUCACCCCCCCCCCCUCUUGGUGUAAAAACGAAGCCUACUUGUUUGCCAACAAUUGGCACCAGAGCUGGUUUUCAUAAGAUAUUUGACAAUUUAGUCGACUCUGUUUUUAUCUUAUUCGACUAUAAAACUUGGGGAUGGUUUCUUGUUUUCAAACUAUUGGUGAAGGUGCUUCGACAAACAGACCACUUCUGUUUGCUGGUGAACAUUAUCUUUUUUGGAAAAUUCGAAUGCAAAUCUUUCUUGAAUCACAAGAUAAGGGGAUUUUAGAUGCCACUUUUAAUGGUCCAUAUGUGCCUAUGAAAACUGUUGAUAAAGAAACUGUCUUAAAACCUUUUACUGAGUGGACUGCUAAUGAAAAUAGAAAAGCUCAGUAUGAUAUUAAAGCUAGAAAUAUAAUUGCCUCUGCACUGACAAUUGAUGAAUUUUUCAGGAUAUCUCAAUGCAAAUCUGCAAAGGAAAUGUGGGAUGUCUUAGAGGGAACUCAUGAAGGCACGAAUGAAGUCAAGAGAGCUAGAAAGAACUCAUUGAUACAAGAGUAUGAAUUGUUCAGAAUGAAGGCUGGAGAAAACAUUUGUGAUGUGCAAAAAAGAUUCACUCACAUUGUAAAUCAUCUAAUGGCUCUUGUCAAAGUGUUUGAUAAGGAAGAGAUCAACAUCAAGAUUUUGAAAAGUCUGAACAGGAGUUGGCAACCAAAAGUCACAACAAUAUCCGAAUCCAAAGAUCUUACAACUAUGAACAUGGAUACCUUGUUUGGCAAGCUACGAGAACAUGUGUUGGAACUUGGUAGAUUAAAGGAUGAAGAGGAGAUUGAAGAGAAGAAGUCCAUUGCUUUGAAAGCUUCAAGCAAGAACAACAUAGAAACAUAAAUGGACGAGAAAGAAUUGAUGACCUUAAUGGUAAGAAAGUUUAGUCGACUUAUGCAAAAUGAUAAUCAAUUGUCUAACCAUGCAGGUCAAAGCAAAAAGAAGAGCUUAAGUACAAAUGUUGUCCAGUGCUAUGAAUGUGGAAAGGAAGGUCACAUCAAGCCUGACUGUCCUGACUUACAGCCGAAGCAAAAAGGAAAGAAAAGAUUUCCUCAAAGCAGAAAUAUGAAAGGAAAAGGAGCCUACAUUGCUAGGGAGAACUCAGAUUCUGAGAAAUCAAGUGAUGAAGAUGUUGACCAAGAGGAGAAAUCCAACAUAUGCCACAUGGUUGGAACAUCAAGUAAUGAAAGUGACAGUGAUGAUGAAUUUGAGAAGCUACAUAUAGAAGAGAAAUAUAAGCAAUUGAUAGAAACAUUCAGAGAAUUGCAUGCUGAGGCAAUGCGACUGGAAUACAAGGUUAAUUGACUGGACUCUGAAAGAAGAUAUUAUGAAUAUAGAAUAAAUAACCUUGUUGCUGAUAAUGUGAAAUUGAAAAAAAAAACUAAAUGAAGCUUUAUUAUCUGCUAAGAAUGUAGAAAUUAAAAUUGUUACAGUAGAAAAAGCUUGUGAAAAUUGUCCUACUCAUAUUGAAAAGAUAAGUUACUUAACUAGCACGCUAGCUAAGUUUACACAAGGUAGAGACAAUUUAGAUGUUGUUUUAAACUCAUCUGGCAGAGCUAUUAAUAGACAAGGAAUUGGUUACAAAGCUCAAUCUAACAGAACCAAUGCUAGGAAAUUCAUUGAUUUGAAUAAACCUGCUAGAAAUGAAUGCUUUUAUAGCAAUUGUAUUGGUCAUACUGUUAGAAACUGUUAUUACAAAAAUAUUGUUGUUGCUAAAGGAUUAUGUGUCUGGAUACCAAAGGAACAUGUAACAAGGACCCAAAGCAAAAUGGGUACCAGCAACCAAAACUUAGUUGUUUUAUAGGAUACACAGUUGAUGCAGAUUGAUCUCAAGGAUGAAUCAAUUAUGGAAUACAUCAAAAAUCUUGAGCAUCUACAACUGGUAAAAUUGUAUCUAUCUGCUGCAUCAUGCCUAUAUUGAUUGGUUGUUACUGUAUGAUUGUUUGUGUUGUAUGCUAAAUUGUUUGAUUGAUUGAAUUUAUUUGAAAAAUGAUUUUCUCGAGUCACAGUCGACUCCAAUAUUAAUUCAAUCGACUGAGUUACAUGGUUGUAUGUAAAACUUUGUUUUUGAACGUUAGAAUUAAUGCUUGGGUUUUAAUGAUAAUCUUGGGCGCGGUUUCAUUCCAUAUAAGGGUGUAAAAUUUUGAUGCACUCACACACUGUCAUAAACAAAACCCUUAUUCUGAUACUGCUUCUAAGAGAAGAUUAUCACUUUUUACUAACAAAUGAAGAUAUAUACCUAAUUUGUGGCUUAUCAUCUGGUAUUCAAACAAAUUGGGCAUUUUUUAUUCGUGAUCACAUGAUGAAGUUCACUAAAAGCAAAGGAUUAUGUCUACCAUAUGGAGUACUUAUCAGCAAAAUAUUGAAGAUGAAAAAGGUAGAUAACACAAAUGAAAGGGUCAUUCACUGCAAAAAGAGUAAUGUUAUGGAAACUCAGUUCUUAGACUUUGUUGGGAUCAUCAAAUUAAGAGAUGAAUGGACAAUGGUUGAUGAAAUUUCAUCUACAUUUGAAAUGGAUCCUCUAAAAAUUGAUGCCACAGGAUAUAAAUUUCAUCCAUCAAGCAUCUUUGAAGGCCAUGUAGAUAGAAGAUUUGACCAAUUGGAAAACAAACUGAACUUGAAGCAAAAAUCUCUAUCUAACCUCCACAAGAUAAUGGAUUAUGUACUCAGGAUAAAGGCUUUUGAAGAAUCAUCUGUUGGUGAUACGGAUAGUGGUAUAAACAGUGCUGACAAAAAGAUUGAAGAAUCAUCUGAAUCAGAAUAGAGUUUUGUUUAUCCUGUAGUGUUUUUAGUCAUAGUCUAUGUUUUCAUUUUGUGUUUGGCAUGUAAAGCCAUCUUUUGUUGUGUUUUUAUUUUUGUUUUUCCUUGUUCUAAUCUUACCAUUGUAAUAUCUUUUUCAAGGAAAUGAAAUUAGAUAUUUUGAUCAAUCCAGUUGUUUUUUAAUAUGUUUGAAUAAUAUCUUAUACAUUGAUUGAUUGAUUUGACUAUGACUUGAGUGAAGUCAACUAUGCUUAUUCUGUCAUACAUCUUUACAUAUUGACUUCUGUUGCUAUUUGAUUAUAAUUCUUGCUUAACCAAAAUGCUUGAUCUAGAAAAGGUUAUUGAAAGGUUUUGCAGGAAAGACAUUGCUUUGGAAGCUACAAAUGGAAUUCAACAAUUGAAAAGCAAUGCAUUUUAUUGAUGAUUUAAAGCAUUCGACUGCAUACAUUUCCAUAUCUGGAAUCUGGUUUUAUCUUUACUGUUUGCUUAAAUCAUUUAAAUCUGCUAUUAUCUCUGCUUUCAUCUGUUGCAAAUAUCUGAAUUGAGAUAAUAUUGUGAGAUUGUUCAAGUUUGUAUCAUUGCAUAUCUAUAUGGUUUGAUAUUUUGACUUUGAUACAACUUUGUGCUUAAACUGCUAAAUCUGUGAUAUAUUGCAUUAUGCACUUGAAUUGAUUUUGUUACUCAUGCAUAAUGACAGGGGGAGUAUCAUUUUUUUUUUUACACAUUUUACAUCACAUGCCUACAUUUCAGGGGGAGUUAACAUUGUUUUAUGAUGAAAUUGUGGUUAUGAGAGCAUCAUUUUAUUUUACAAAUUGCAUAUCUUUUUUAUGCAUCUCUGUUUUCAAAUCUGCAUAAAUAUCUAAAGCAUUCCUUUUUUGUUAAUGCACAAAGGGAGAGAGAUAUACGAGAGUAUGAGAUAAAGUAUUAAAGCUUUUUGAAAGGGGGAGAUUUAUGUCUUCUGUCUCAUACUUCAUUUGCUUGAUAUUAUGUUGCUUAUGCAGAGUAAUUGAACUGAGCUAAAUCUUUUGCUAUAUGUUAUUACUCUGUUGUGUAUUGAACUGUACAAACAUGCUUGAGUUAUUAAUCAUGGUUGUGCAUCAUCAAAAAAGGGGGAGUGAUAAACUGUCGUUGAAGUUAUCAAAUUAAUACUACUUUUCAAGGCAACUUCAGUAUUGCCUAGUAGUAUUCAAGCAAGUAGAUAGGGCAACCCUAAGUCGUCUCCCAACGAACACGGAAUUGCUUUCGAAUAUCUGACUCUUAUGAAUGAUAUCCAAUGCUUAUGAGUAAAAGUUAGAAUGUUUAAAAAAUGUUGUAGAACAAAGAGGAAACAUAAAAACAGUUAUGAAGAAACAGGCUAUUCCACUGCUUUUCCAAAAUAGAUUCAUCAUUGGUUACUCACAAAUUAUUGUUCAAUUGAUUAUUGUUUAAGUUUCAAAUUAAUUAAAGUACAUUCUUAAUUAAUUUGAGGGCGACCAUGCAAUUAAUCAAAGUACAUUCUCAAUCNNNNNNNNNNNNNNNNNNNNNNNNNNNNNNNNNNNNNNNNNNNNNNNNNNNNNNNNNNNNNNNNNNNNNNNNNNNNNNNNNNNNNNNNNNNNNNNNNNNNNNNNNNNNNNNNNNNNNNNNNNNNNNNNNNNNNNNNNNNNNNNNNNNNNNNNNNNNNNNNNNNNNNNNNNNNNNNNNNNNNNNNNNNNNNNNNNNNNNNNNNNNNNNNNNNNNNNNNNNNNNNNNNNNNNNNNNNNNNNNNNNNNNNNNNNNNNNNNNNNNNNNNNNNNNNNNNNNNNNNNNNNNNNNNNNNNNNNNNNNNNNNNNNNNNNNNNNNNNNNNNNNNNNNNNNNNNNNNNNNNNNNNNNNNNNNNNNNNNNNNNNNNNNNNNNNNNNNNNNNNNNNNNNNNNNNNNNNNNNNNNNNNNNNNNNAAUCCAUAAUGAAAUUACAGCAGAAUAGCCCUAGGAGCUUAGCUCUCCAUGAAUGGAGUGAAACACAUAAUGAAAGAAAAGUGAAAGGAGUGGUGAAUGAAUGAAUGAAUGAAGCUCCCUUGGGUCUCUUUAUAUAGGAUUGAUUGGGCUUGAACUUUGAAUCUUCUGUUGAUAAAAUCUUUUAUCUUAUAUCUAAUAUCUUUCAAAUAUUCAACAGAUUUAAUCAGUUUUUUAGAAUAUUUGAUAAUAUCUUUCCUAUAUCAAAAAAGAUUUGGCAAAUAUUAUCUUUUGAUAUUUAUUGAUAUAGUUAAAUAAGNUAAUUAUUUAACAAUAUCAAGUAAAACAUCUUAAGAUAUAUUUUCUCCAAAAUAUCUUUAAAAAUAUCUAACAGAUUUAAACUUGCCCAAAAUUACAUUUCAACCCUUUUUAUUUUAUUCAAAUUUACACAUAAGUCUAGAUUUUCCUCUAAUUGCACAUUAGCCAUCUCUUUCUUUUCAAAAUUGCAUAAGAGCCUUGAGUUGACCCGAUUGGACCAUCUUUGACCAUUCAAUUUCACGCUUUUAAAUGAAUAAAAUUCUAACUUCAGCUGCACAAAUAAACAUUAGAACAUCCAAAAUAAUUUAUGCAACUAAGAAUUAUAUUUUAAGCAUCUUUAAUUCUCAAACCCAAUAAAUCCAACUACACACAGAUUCACUUAAAAUCAACCAUUUAAGCACAAAUAUCUCAUCAAAAAUUUGAAUUUUAAAGCAUAAAUGUGGGCAUAAAUAUGCUUGAGUUAUUAAUCAUGGUUGUGCAUCAUCAAAAAAAGGGGAGAUUGUUGAGAUUGCUGACAACACAAACUCUAUAUCAAUCUAGUUUUUGAUGAUGACAACACUAUGCUUAAUAACAGUACAUGUAUUGCUGCAUUACAUGUUCUCUACUAUAUUGAUUGUUAAAUUUGCUGAACAUGUUUGAUGUAUUGUGAUGUAUGUUCCUAUGUUGUUUGCUUGAUAUAUUUGUGGAACAUGCUUACAUGCUUAUGUGCUAUGUGAAAUGCUUUAUUACAUAUAUUUUACUGCGCAUUUUUAAAAGAGAAAAAUCACAAGCACUUUUGUGAACUUAUAAUUGUGUGACAAAGUUAUAGUCCAGUGGAAUACAUCUGUAAUGGAUUCGACUAUUCUAAAACCUUUGUACAAAUUUUGAGAAUCAGUGCUCUGUGAUAUUUUGAGUUGAAAAGAAUUUCAAAGUGUUUUCACUUAAGGCAUUCGAUUAUGGUCUGUGUACAUUCAACUGUAUUAUUGAUCUAUUUUGGAAUUCUGUUAUGCUUACACGCUCCAACGACUAUAUUUUUAAAAGUUAGUUAAGCAUUGAUGACUUUGUCAACUGUUUUGAAUGUGUGUUGAUUCGUUUUGACUGAGAGCCUCUAUGUUGAUUGUCUAUUAUAACUGUAAUAAUCAAGUCGACUAAAUUAGUAGGCUAUUCGACUGAGAAACAAUCUGACUAACAGAAAACUAUAGAUUGGCUAAAAACGAGUUGUUCAGGUACUUUUGAUGAUCUAACAUUUCAUUCUUGUUUCAGAUUGAAUUCUCUAUGUUAACAGCUCCAAUAAUUCUCCAAGAAGACGGUGGUGAUCUAUCUUGAGAGAGAUUCAAAGGGAGAAGGCUUAUGCACUGACUGUGUGAUCAGAAACUGCACAAAGAAGGUGCUUCUUGAUUGAUCAUUGAAGGCUUGGCAUCCUGUGAAAACUGUUGCGUUGUUUGAAGGCUUGGCAUCCUGUCAAGACUAUUGCGUUGUUUGAAGGCUUGACAUCCUGUGAAGAGUGCUGGAAUUAACCUGUUGCGUUAGAGAGGAGAUUUAUAUUUUUGACGUGAGGUAUUCUAUAAAUUCCUUGUUGUAAAAUCCGCAACCUAUAUAGUGCGUUUGCUUCCAGGGUUGGAAGGACACUGGAUGUAGGCAUUAUUGGCCGAACCAAUAUAACAACUAGUGUUUACUUUUCUCUAUCCCUGCACUCUUUAAUUUCAGUCGACUUUAUCUUUUACGCAGUCAACUACGUUUUUCUGCUGCAUAUAAAUUUUCAUUACUUGCAUUUCAAGAAAGAUAAAAAAGCUUUAUACUUUUGAUAAAAGAUUGCGAAAAAAUUUUGUUUUUGAAACAUCACCAAUUCACCCCCCUCUUGGUUUAAAAACAAAGCCUACUUGUUUCCCAACAUGUUCCUAUGUUGAUUGUUUCAUAUAUUUGUGGAACAUGCUUACAUGCUUAUGUGCAAUGUGAAAUUCUUUAUUACAUAUGUUUUACUGCACAUUUUUUAAAGUGAAAAACCACAAGCACUUUCAUGAACUUAUAACUGUGUGACAAAGUUAUAGUACAGUCGACUACAUUAUUAAUGGAUUCGACUGUGCUAAAAUCUUUAUACAGGUUUUAAGAAUCAGUGCUCUGUGAUGUUUUUAGUUGAAAAGAAUUUCAAAGUGUUUUUUCAUGUGUCAGUCAACUUUGUCUGGUUUGCAUUCGACUGUGUUUUUUAUCUGAUUUGGAAUUCUGUUAUGCUCUUGCUCCAACGACUUUAUUUUUAGAAGUUAGUUGAGCAUUGAUGACUAGGUCCACUGUAUUAAAUGAGUUCUGUUAUUUGUUGUUAUAAUUGUAAUAAUACAGUCGACUGAAUUAAUAACCUAUUCGACUGAGAAACAAUCUGAUAGACAGAAAACUAUAAAUUGGUUGAACACGAGUUGUUCAGAGACUUUUGAGCAACUAACAUUUUCAUUCUUGUUUCAGAUUGAAUUCUCUAUGAUAACAACUCCUAGAAUUCUCCAAGAAGACCGUGGUGAUCUUUCUUGAGGGAGAUUCAAAGGGAGAUAGCUUGCGCACUCAUUGUUUGAUCAAAUACUACACAAAGAAGGUGUGAAACUCUCAGUUUUUCUCUCUUUUCUGGUGUUUAGAAGUCAAUUUUAGGCUGUUUUUGUUUCUAAUUUUCUAGAAUUAGGUUAGUUUAGCAUUUUUUUCUUAAUUUUAGAGCUUUUGUUAAAAUAGUGUUAAUUUUCCAUUUUUAAUUAAAUAAAAUAGUUUUUCUUAAUAAUUAGGAAUUUUAUCUUAGAAAAAAUAUUCAGAAAAUUAAAAACAAAAUUUCAUUCUUUUUAGGCUUUAUUUUUCAUUUUCUAUUACCAGUUUCUUUUUUAUGAUGUUGCAGAAAUUAAUAAAAGUGGGCUGAUGCUGAGGAAAAUAUAAUGGGCCAGCACUAAUUGGAGAGUAGAUUUGCACCAUUGUGAUGAUGGCUGGGCUGUAGUAGCUGCCAAAAGCCCACGAGGCUACUGUGAGGGAAUGGAAUGAAGAUUGUUUUGGGUCGUCUGCAGUGGGCUGAAGAAUCAAGUGAAGUUGUGUGUUUUAGUGAUCGUGUUUGCUUUGGGGGUCAGUGUUUCGCAAGCCUUAUUUUCAAUUGCAAGUAUCAAGCUAGGGCUCAGGUGCAGAGAAAGAAAACACUCGUCCGAUCCAGAAGAAGUUGAAGCUGAUUCUGAACCUGAGGUUUAAAGCUGGACCCAUAAGUGGAACGUAAUGAGAAGAUGAUCGAAAGGGUUGCCGAGAAGACGCAAGGAGGAUCGGAAGCAAAGCUGUUACAUCAGAAAGUUAGUUGGAAAAGUGCUCUCGAAGCUUCUAAAACCGUUGGCGAUUCUUCCCCUUUCUCCUUCUUUCUUUUCUUUUCUGUUUUUGAUAUUUCCCUAUAAAAGGGGGUUUUGUAACAUUGUAAAGAGUACGUGCAUUGGGUGACAGACUUUGCACUUAGCUUAGGUUUUUCGCUUUCUCAUGCUCUAGUUUAGAUUUCAAAGCUUUCGUAGAGUAGAUACACCAUUCUUCGUUACUGGAUUUUGUGGAGGGUUCUCGCGUGGGUGACAGGCCGUGAGGUUCCCUUUGUGAUUUUCGGUACAAUUUUUGUAUUCCAAUUCUCCAAUUUUCAAAUACAAUUCAGUUCUUUUAUUUUCUUUGCACAAUUUUAUGAUUCAUGUUCUUUCAAUUUUGAUUCUUGCACAUGAUUUUACUUUCUCUGUUUUAACAUUAAUUCAUUUUUCAUCUCAGUAUUAGAUUUUGAGUUGCUUUAGAUUCGUGUACUGUUUUAUGAUUUCAGCAUUUGAUUUCGGUAUUGCAUGAUUAGGAAUUGUAUUUUAGGAAGUCUGUUCCAUUGUUGUUUGAUUAGUUUGAUUUGGGCAUUUCAAUUCUGAUUAUGGGUGUUAUUAGAUUUUCAAAUUUUCUUUCAUAGUUACUGUUCUAAUUUCUUUCUUAGCAUUCAUUCACAUGAUAGUCCUUAUUGUUCAUUCACUUAGUUAAUUACAAAUUAGGAUUUCCUUCAUAUUACUUGAAUUUUAGAUUGUGAAUUUUGUUUUAGUUUCUUUUUAGUUUUCAAGAUUCUUUUAAUUGCAUUAGCUUAGUCUUGUUAAUACAGAUUGCAUUAGUUACCGUAAUAUAGGAUAGAUAUCAUGCAUUGUUUUCUUUCUACUUUUCCAUUAGUUUUACUUAGAUUUUAAUUCUUUUAGUUUCUCUUUUCAGAUUUUAGUUUCAUCUUUUCUUUCCCCACCUAGUUUUAGAAAAUAAUAAUUAGGUUAAAUUCUACAAUUUCUAAACUUGACAAGAACCAAGUCCUUGGAUUGAUCCCUAGUCAACCCUAUAUUACAUUAGUGGGGAUUAGGUUUGUUGAGCUUUAAUGCGACUAAAAAGCCUUUCAACAAGGUGCUUCUGGGUUGAUCACUUCAGGCUUGGCAUCCUUUGAAGACUGUUGCACUUGUUGAGGUUUGGCAUCUUGUGAAGACUGCUGGAAUUGGACCUGUUGUGAUACAGGGUUUUCACGUUGAGGAUUGUUCGACGUGGUGUUCAGAUUGCAGGAGAGGGGAUUCUUGCUGCAAGUUUGGUUUUUGUUAUUGCAGUUAUAUUUUGGUUUUGGGUUAGAGAGGAAAUUUAUAUUUUUGACGUGGAGGUCUUCUAUAUAUUCCUUGUUGUAAAAACCGCAACCAUUAUAGUGCAUUUGCUUCUUGAGUUGGAAGGACACUGGAUGUAGGCAUUGUUGGCCGAACUAGUAUAAAAAUCAACAUUUGAUUUUCUUUAUCCCUGCACUCUUUAAUUCCAGUCGACUUUACUUUUCACGUAGUCAACUACAUUUUUCUGCUGCAUAUAGAUUUUCAUUACUUGCAGUUCAAGAAAGUUUAUAAAGCUUUGUACUUUUGAUAAAAGAUUGCGAAAAGAUUUUGUUUUUGAAACAUCACCAAUUCAUCCCCCUCUUGGUGUAAAAACGAAGCCUACCUGUUUUCCAACGAUUUGUUGUUGAUCACAGUUCAUGCUUUAUAGACAAGUUAAAGCUGAAAUUUGUUGUUUCUC